rnacentral:rRNA from 1 species
UGCGCAGGCGGCCAAGUGUGUUAGGCGUGAAAGCCCGGGGCUUAACCCCGGAAUUGCACCUAAAACUACAUGGCUAGAGUACUGGAGAGGGUAACGGAAUUCACGGUGUAGCAGUGAAAUGCGUAGAUAUCGUGAGGAACACCAGAGGCGAAGGCGGUUACCUGGACAGUUACUGACGCUCAGGCACGAAAGCGUGGGGAGCAAAAGGGAUUAGAUACCCCUGUAGUCCACGCCCUAAACUGUGCACACUAGGUCUUGGCGGAUUCGACCCCACCAGGGCCCAAGCUAACGCGUUAAGUGUGCCGCCUGAGGACUACGGCCGCAAGGCUAAA